rnacentral:rRNA from 1 species
CCUACGGGGGGCUGCAGUGAGGAAUAUUGGUCAAUGGGCUUACGCCUGAACCAGCCAAGUCGCGUGAGGGAAGACUGCCCUAUGGGUUGUAAACCUCUUUUGUCAGGGAGUAAUUGGCGCUACGUGUAGCGUUAUCGAGAGUACCUGAAGAAAAAGCAUCGGCUAACUCCGUGCCAGCAGCCGCGGUAAUACGGAGGAUGCGAGCGUUAUCCGGAUUUAUUGGGUUUAAAGGGUGCGUAGGCGGAAUGCCAAGUCAGCGGUAAAAUCGCGGGGCUCAACCUCGCUCCGCCGUUGAAACUGGCGGUCUUGAGUUGGCGAGAAGUAUGCGGAAUGCGUGGUGUAGCGGUGAAAUGCAUAGAUAUCACGCAGAACUCCGAUUGCGAAGGCAGCAUACCGGCGCCCAACUGACGCUGAAGCACGAAAGCGUGGGUAUCGAACAGGAUUAGAUACCCGGGUAGUC